rnacentral:misc_RNA from 1 species
CCAAACUUGGUCAUUUAGAGGAAGUAAAAGUCGUAACAAGGUUUCCGUAGGUGAACCUGCGGAAGGAUCAUUAUUGAAUAAACCUGGCUUGGUUGAUGCUGGUCUUUUCGAGGACAUGUGCACACCUUGUCAUCUUUAUAUCUCCACCUGUGCACCUUUUGUAGACCUGGAUUCAACUUUCCGAGGCAACUCGGUUGUGGGGAAUUGCCUGAUAGGCUUUCCUUGUUUGUUUCUAGGGCUAUGUUUUCAUAUACACCUUAUGAAUAUAACAGAAUGUCAUUAUUAGGCUUAAUUGCCUUAUAAACUAUAUACAACUUUCAGCAACGGAUCUCUUGGCUCUCGCAUCGAUGAAGAACGCAGC